GACGAACGCUGGCGGCGUGCUUAACACAUGCAAGUCGAACGGUAAGGCCCUUCGGGGUACACGAGUGGCGAACGGGUGAGUAACACGUGGGUGAUCUGCCCUGCACUUUGGGAUAAGCCUGGGAAACUGGGUCUAAUACCGAAUACACCCUGCUGGUCGCAUGGCCUGGUGGGGGAAAGCUUUUGCGGUGUGGGAUGGGCCCGCGGCCUAUCAGCUUGUUGGUGGGGUGAUGGCCUACCAAGGCGACGACGGGUAGCCGGCCUGAGAGGGUGUCCGGCCACACUGGGACUGAGAUACGGCCCAGACUCCUACGGGAGGCAGCAGUGGGGAAUAUUGCACAAUGGGCGCAAGCCUGAUGCAGCGACGCCGCGUGAGGGAUGGCGGCCUUCGGGUUGUAAACCUCUUUCAAUAGGGACGAAGCGCAAGUGACGGUACCUAUAGAAGAAGCACCGGCCAACAACGUGCCAGCAGCCGCGGUAAUACGUAGGGUGCGAGCGUUGUCCGGAAUUACUGGGCGUAAAGAGCUCGUAGGUGGUUUGUCGCGUUGUUCGUGAAAACUCACAGCUUAACUGUGGGCGUGCGGGCGAUACGGGCAGACUGGAGUACUGCAGGGGAGACUGGAAUUCCUGGUGUAGCGGUGGAAUGCGCAGAUAUCAGGAGGAACACCGGUGGCGAAGGCGGGUCUCUGGGCAGUAACUGACGCUGAGGAGCGAAAGCGUGGGGAGCGAACAGGAUUAGAUACCCUGGUAGUCCACGCCGUAAACGGUGGGUACUAGGUGUGGGUUUCCUUCCUUGGGAUCCGUGCCGUAGCUAACGCAUUAAGUACCCCGCCUGGGGAGUACGGCCGCAAGGCUAAAACUCAAAGAAAUUGACGGGGGCCCGCACAAGCGGCGGAGCAUGUGGAUUAAUUCGAUGCAACGCGAAGAACCUUACCUGGGUUUGACAUGCACAGGACGCCGGCAGAGAUGUCGGUUCCCUUGUGGCCUGUGUGCAGGUGGUGCAUGGCUGUCGUCAGCUCGUGUCGUGAGAUGUUGGGUUAAGUCCCGCAACGAGCGCAACCCUUGUCUCAUGUUGCCAGCACGUUAUGGUGGGGACUCGUGAGAGACUGCCGGGGUCAACUCGGAGGAAGGUGGGGAUGACGUCAAGUCAUCAUGCCCCUUAUGUCCAGGGCUUCACACAUGCUACAAUGGCCGGUACAAAGGGCUGCGAUGCCGUGAGGUGGAGCGAAUCCUUUCAAAGCCGGUCUCAGUUCGGAUCGGGGUCUGCAACUCGACCCCGUGAAGUCGGAGUCGCUAGUAAUCGCAGAUCAGCAACGCUGCGGUGAAUACGUUCCCGGGCCU
rnacentral:rRNA from 1 species